UAUAUACUCCCUCUGUUCGAAAUUACUUGUCGCAGAAAUGGAUGUAUCUAGAUGUAUUUUAGUUCUAGAUACAUCCAUUUCCGAGACAAGUAAUUUCGAACGGAGGAAGUAUAUG
rnacentral:pre_miRNA from 1 species